AGACAGAGGGUGCAAACGUUGUUCGGAAUCACUGGGCGUAAAGCGCGUGUAGGCGGCUACGUAAGUCGGACGUGAAAUCCCACGGCUCAACCGUGGAAGUGCGCUCGAAACUGUGUAGCUUGAGUCCUGGAGAGGAAGACGGAAUACUUGGUGUAGAGGUGAAAUUCGUAGAUAUCAGGUAGAACACCAGUGGCGAAGGCGGUCUUCUGGACAGUGACUGACGCUGAGACGCGAAAGCGUGGGGAGC
rnacentral:rRNA from 1 species